GACGUAGGUGGCGAACGUUAUCCGGAAUCAUUGGGCGUAAAGGGUGCGUAGGCGGCAUGAUAAGUUAUUGGCGGCAAAUCGAGGCUCAACCUCGUGGAAACUGAUAAUACUGUCUUGCUUGAGUGCAGAAGAGGUUAACGGAACUCCAUGUGGAGCGGUAAAAUGUGUAGAUAUAUGGAAGAACAUCAAUAACGGCGAAGGCAGUUAACUAUUCUGUUACUGACGUUGAGGCACGAAAGCGUGGGGAGCAAAAGG
rnacentral:rRNA from 1 species